rnacentral:tRNA from 1 species
AAUAAAAUGGCUGAGGGUAACAAGCGAUAAAUUGUAAAUUUAUUUACGAGAAAUAUUCUCUUUUAUUA